UUGUUCAAAAUUUGAAGCCAACGCCUG
rnacentral:sRNA from 1 species